rfam:Trichobilharzia regenti genome assembly, scaffold: TRE_scaffold0002389
GUACUGAUGAAGAGUCUCAAACGAUGACGAAACAGCUGUCCAGUAC